UACAGAGGUCUCGAGCGUUAGGCGGAAUCACUGGGCUUAAAGCGUGUGUAGGUGGAUGCCUAAGUACCUUGUGAAAUCCCACAGCUUAACUGUGGAACUGCUUGGUAUACUGGGUGUCUUGAGUCACUCAGGGGCGAGCGGAACAAAUGGUGGAGCGGUGAAAUGCGUAGAUAUCAUUUGGAACGCCAAUGGUGAAAACAGCUCGCUGGGGGUGCACUGACACUGAGACACGAAAGCCAGGGGGGCGAACGGG
rnacentral:rRNA from 1 species